ensembl:snRNA U6 U6 spliceosomal RNA
GAGCUCAUUUCAGUAGCACAUAUACUAAAAUUAGAUUAAUACAAAGAAGAUUUGCAAGGCCUCUUAACAAGGAUGACACACAAAUUCGUGAGGAAUUCCAUACUUUU